GAAUCAUUGAUAAAAUGGAUUCAAUAUGUUCUGUCCCUAAACCAAAUUUUUAUUUUUUUAUUGAAAAAUUCUUUUCAAAAACUU
rnacentral:tRNA from 1 species